rnacentral:rRNA from 1 species
ACUCAAAGGAAUUGACGGGGGCCCGCACAAGUGGUGGAGCAUGUGGUUUAAUUCGACGCUACGCGAAGAACCUUACCUGGGUUUGACAUCUACGGGAAGGCUCCAGAGAUGGUGUCCGUCCUUCGGGACUCGUAGACAGGUGCUGCAUGGCUGUCGUCAGCUCGUGCCGUGAGGUGUUGGGUUAAGUCCCGCAACGAGCGCAACCCUUGUCCUUAGUUGCCACCGGGUAAUGCCGGGCACUCUGGGGAGACUGCCAGCACAAGCUGGAGGAAGGUGGGGAUGACGUCAAGUCAGCAUGGCCCUUACGUCCAGGGCUACACACGUGCUACAAUGGCCGGUACAGAGGGCUGCCAACCCGCGAGGGGGAGCGAAUCCCACAAAGCCGGUCUCAGUUCGGAUUGUAGGCUGCAAUUCGCCUGCAUGAAGUCGGAAUCACUAGUAACCGCAGAUCAGCUACGCUGCGGUGAAUACGUUCCCGGGCCUUGUACACACCGCCCGU